UGUGCCAGCCARCCGCGGUAAUACGUAGGUGGCAAGCGUUAUCCGGAAUUAUUGGGCGUAAAGCGCGCGUAGGCGGUUUUUUAAGUCUGAUGUGAAAGCCCACGGCUCAACCGUGGAGGGUCAUUGGAAACUGGAAAACUUGAGUGCAGAAGAGGAAAGUGGAAUUCCAUGUGUAGCGGUGAAAUGCGCAGAGAUAUGGAGGAACACCAGUGGCGAAGGCGACUUUCUGGUCUGUAACUGACGCUGAUGUGCGAAAGCGUGGGGAUCAAACAGGAUUAGAUACCCUGGUAGUCCACGCCGUAAACGAUGAGUGCUAAGUGUUAGGGGGUUUCCGCCCCUUAGUGCUGCAGCUAACGCAUUAAGCAC
rnacentral:rRNA from 1 species